rnacentral:lncRNA from 1 species
ACAUUUUAUUCCUUUUUGUAUAUCGUAACUAUUUUCAUAUUCUACUUGAAUCACAUCAACAAAUUAUGUUGGGUGACCUUACGAAGUGUAUUCACAUUCUGACCCUUGAUCAUUACCUGCCACUUCCUAGCUAAGUUGUGUCACAGUCCUCGUCAGCAGUUCACAAUGGGGGCCCAUGUAACCCCCUCACUUUUUUUUUUUUUUUUUUUUUUUAAGACAGGCUGAGAUAUCCUUGUAAAACUUGCUGUUUUCCUGCCUCGGCCUCCUUUGUGCUAGGGUGACAAGCAAGUGUCACCUUCACAUGAUUUCCUAAUAUGUCUCCUGGCGGACCCUGCUGUGGAGACUAACCAUGGCUUGUGGCUUGUGUGUCAGGUUUCAGACACACUUUCCUCUACAUUUGCAUUCAAUAUUCUUUUGUGGCUUUCAAACUCUUGUUCCCAUAUAGCCUCCAAUAAGCCUCCCCCUUUAACACCCUAAUGAGAAUUUCAGACUCUCAAUUUUGCAUGCUUCUGUGUCUUUUUCCACUUUAGUUUUCUUCUGAUAUUUGUUUCAAAUAUACUGUUUGUUUUCAUCAAGAAGGCAAGAAGUCCUUUUCAUUUUUGUUGACUACUGAGCAACACUUAGAUAGCAAUAGUCUUGUAACAGGUAUCAAAUGCAUUGUUUUAUGGAAUAGAUGAGUUAUAUCUUACAAAAUUUAUUUGUUCUUUUGAAACAAGGUCUCUCUAUGUAGCCCUGGCUGUCCUGGAACACCCUAUGUAGACCACGCUGGUCUUUAACUCAGCCACUUGCCUGCCUCUUUAAAUGCCGGGAUUGAAGACCUGGUCACCGUGUCCUCCCAGUAAAAUCAGUUACUAUCUUUAUCCCACUUGAUCCUAAACUGAGGAAUCUGCCCCUCCUCCAUUGGACAGUGUCUAGCUGUGCAGCCUAGGCUGACCUGGAACUCAGUAUCCCCCGGCCUCAGUCUCCUCAGUGCUUGCAUUACCCAGUUGCCUAGCUCCAGUGUUGGCAUUGCAAGUGUGGUCCACCAUCCCCGGGAAAGCUAAACUGCUUAUGUGGCAAAGGCUGUGGCUUUUUUUUUUUCCCUAGUCUAUUCCUUCGGUGUUUAACACAAGGUAGUUUGCAUUGUACAAAUGCAGUUCAUCAAAUAUCGUGCUUUUUGUUUUAUACGGAUCAGUCAUAGCAAAACAACUUGUCAGAAUGUUUCCCUUUUGCUCCCUGGUAACCAGCUGUAUAUUCUAUGAAAUUAAUAUUUUGUUGUGUUUUCAAACUAUAUAGGUAGUUCAUGGGGAAAUUAGAUAACAUUGAAAAGUUCUCUUUGAUUGAAAUUUAGUUACUUAACUAGUUAUUUAACUAUUAAUUAUUGUGAGUAUAUAAGUUUUGAUGACAUUUUCUUUUCACAAAUAAGGCUUUAAUGGUUGUCUUAGAAAGUUUUUAUUUCAAAAAAGAGAGGGGAGAGAGAGAGAGAGAGAGAGAGAAGCAAGCAAGCAGAGAGGUGGUAGCAUAUAGCUCUAAUCCUAAGCACUCUAGAUCUCUAUAAGUUCGAGGCCAGCCUAGUCUGCAGCAAGUUCUGUAAGUUCGAGGCCAGCCUAGUCUGCAGCAAGUUCUAUAAGUUCGAGGCUAGCCUAGUCUGCAGCAAGUUCUGUAAGUUCGAGGCCAGCCUAGUCUGCAGCGAGUUCCAGGACAGCCAGGGCUACACAGAAACCCUGUAUCCAAAACUAGAAAUGAAAAUAGC